rnacentral:rRNA from 1 species
UACGAAGGGGGCUAGCGUUGUUCGGAAUCACUGGGCGUAAAGCGCGCGUAGGCGGAUCGCUAAGUCAGGGGUGAAAUCCCAGGGCUCAACCCUGGAACUGCCUUUGAUACUGACGAUCUGGAGAUCGGGAGAGGUUGGUGGAAUUCCGAGUGUAGAGGUGAAAUUCGUAGAUAUUCGGAGGAACACCAGAAGCGAAGGCGGCCAACUGGCCCGAUACUGACGCUGAGGCGCGAAAGCGUGGGGAGCAAACAGG